UAUACGAUGAAGAGUUUGAUCCUGGCUCAGGAUGAACGCUAGCGGCAGGCCUAACACAUGCAAGUCGAGGGGUAGAAAGAGCUUGCUUUUUUGAGACCGGCGCACGGGUGAGUAACGCGUAUGCAACCUACCUUAUACAGGGGAAUAGCCCGAAGAAAUUCGGAUUAAUGCUCCAUGGUUUAUCGAUAUGGCAUCGUAUUGAUAAUAAAGAUUUAUCGGUAUAAGAUGGGCAUGCGUAUCAUUAGCUAGGUGGUGUGGUAACGGCAUACCAAGGCAACGAUGAUUAGGGGUCCUGAGAGGGAGAUCCC
rnacentral:rRNA from 1 species